rnacentral:rRNA from 1 species
GUGCAGUAUCAAAGCUAACGCGUUAAGUAUCCCGCCUGGGGAGUAUGCUCGCAAGAGUGAAACUCAAAGGAAUUGACGGGAGACCACACAAUAGGUGGAUUAUGCGGUUUAAUUUGAUGCAACGCAAAGAACCUUACCAGGGUUUGACAUGUCUAGAAUUUUUCAGAAAUGGAAAAGUGCUUCCUUUUUAUGAAAGGAAGAACUAGAACACAGGUGGU